CAAAGGUUUUCAUUAUAUGUGCACAUAUACACAGAAAGGAGACCAAACCAGUCAGACCUAAAGGAAAUCAACACUGAAUAUUCACUGGAAGGACUGAUGCUGAGGCUGAAGCUCCAAUACUUUGUCCCCUUGAUGCGAAGAGCCAACUCAUUGGAAAAAACCCUGAUCCUGGGAAAGACUGAAGGCAAGAGGAGAAAGAAGUGACAGAGGAUGAGAUGGUUGGAUGGCAUCACUGACUCCAUGCAAGUUUGAGCAAGCUCUAAAAGACAGUAAAGGACAGAGGAGCCUAGUGUGCUGCAGUCCACGGGGUCACAAAGAGUUAGCCACGACUGUGCGACUAGCUACAACAACAUGUACACAGAUAUCAGAACCAUCACUGGAACCAAACAUAGAAUAUUUUCAAUACCUUAAAAAGAAAUUCCAUGCCUUUAAGCUAUGCAUAUCUAUCUCCCAUCCGGCCUCCCUCUUCUGGUCCUAGGUAACCAUUUGUCUACAUUCCGUCUCUAUAGAGUUGCCUAGUCUGGACGUAACCAUUUGUCCACAUUCCGUCUCUAUAGAGUUGCCUAGUCUGGACAUUUCAUAUCAGUAAAAUCAGGUAUCCAGAAACUACAUGUACUGGUACUAUGCACUGUGGAAGGGAGAAAAUCAAAUAGAGAAGAAUCUGAACUUUAAAAAGAUGCAGAAGUGGUGAGAAGAGGGUGUCUGUUACUUUUUAUUCUGGAGAAUAUCCAGAAUAGCAUCAUUGCACAUUCCAUGGACUGGAAACAGUAGAGAAGGGACUCUCAAGAUGAAUGACUCCAUGAGAUCAUUGAGAGUUGCCAAGUAUCCAGAUUUUGGUCCAAAGACUGGAAGCAGGCAGCUCCUCUGACAGCUCUGUGGUCCCAGCUUCCAGUUUGAUUCAUGGCCGGCGCUGAGACACAGGAAGUUCGUGUCUGCUGUAAUCUAAACACCAUGAAAACGGAACAGAAGAAACAGUGCAGAAAGACACAGUAAUCUGGAUUGUCCCUCAAUUCAACAGCAAUAAAAUCUGGACUUAGUGUUUAGCUGGAAAUUAAGACAGUGUUCACUGCUCCAGAAACAGCCACUGGGGGAAAGGGACUAUUUAAGUUGACCAAAAUAUUAUAUAAGACACAAGCUACACGACCAAGACCUCUGAGAUCUGGAAGAGAGUCCAGGUAGACCAGAAGGUGUUUCCAUGACUCACUGCCUGGAGCAGC
ensembl:lncRNA